ACGGAAGGCAGCAGUGGGGAAUAUUGCACAAUGGGGGAAACCCUGAUGCAGCGACGCCGCGUGAGUGAAGAAGUAUUUCGGUAUGUAAAGCUCUAUCAGCAGGAAAGAAAAUGACGGUACCUGACUAAGAAGCCCCGGCUAACUACGUGCCAGCAGCCGCGGUAAUACGUAGGGGGCAAGCGUUAUCCGGAUUUACUGGGUGUAAAGGGAGCGUAGACGGCUUUGCAAGUCUGAAGUGAAAGCCCGGGGCUCGACCCCGGAACUGCUUUGGAAACUGUAGAGCUAGAGUGCAGGAGAGGUAAGUGGAAUUCCUAGUGUAGCGGUGAAAUGCGUAGAUAUUAGGAGGAACACCAGUGGCGAAGGCGGCUUACUGGACUGUAACUGACGUUGAGGCUCGAAGGCGUGGGGAGCAAACAGGAUUAGAUACCCUGGUA
rnacentral:rRNA from 1 species